GCUGUGUGUUAUAUGUGUCACACGGGACUGCCGGUCUUAAGCCGGAGGAAAGGUGGGGAUGACGUCAAGUCAGCAUGGCCUUUAUAUCCUGGGCUACACACACGCUACAAUGGCCAGGUACAGUAGGUUGCGAAGCCGCGAGGCGGAGCCAAUCCUCAAAAGCUGGCCUCAGUUCAGAUUGCAGGCUGCAACCCGCCUGCAUGAAGAUGGAGUUGCUAGUAACCGCAGGUCAGUCAUACUGCGGUGAAUACCGGUUCCCGGGGCUU
rnacentral:rRNA from 1 species